GCUGGUCUAGGUGGAUCUAGGCGGCGCUAGGUGGGUCUAGGCGGCACUAGGCGGGUCUGGCUGCCAAGGUGGGUCUAGCUGCCAAGGUGGGUCUGGUUAUUUUCUUUUGUUCUUUAAGCCUACCGCCUAGCGAUUUUUCAAACUUAUGCACUGCAGGCUGGUCUAGGCGGUGCUGAGAGGGUCUGGGCAGCGCUAGGCUGGUCUGAGAGGAGCUAGCAGGGUCUGGGCAGCGCUAGAUGGGUCUAGGCGGCACUAGGC
rnacentral:lncRNA from 1 species